GACGAACGCUGGCGGCGUGCUUAACACAUGCAAGUCGAACGGAAAGGCGCUGCUCUUGUGGCGUGCUCGAGUGCCGAACGGGUGAGUAACACGCGAGUAACCUGCCCCUGACUUUGGGAUAACACCAGGAAACUGGGGCUAAUACCGGAUAGGAGAUCCUGAUCCACGGUGGGGGAUGGAAAGUUUCGGCGGUUGGGGAUCGACUCGCGGCUUAUCGGCUUGAUGGUGGAGUAGUGGCUUACCAAGGCUGUGACGGCUAGCCGGCCUGAGAGCGGGACCGGCCACAAUGGUACUGAGGUACGGCGCAGAAUCCUACGGUAGGCAGCGGUCGGGAGUCUGACACAGUGGGCGGAAGCCAGAGACAGCGACGCCGCGUGCGGGAUAACCGCCUACUGGGUGAAAACCACUUUCGCAUGAAACAAGGAGGGAGUGACGGUAAUUGGUAAAGAAGCAACGGCUAACUACGUG
rnacentral:rRNA from 1 species